CGGUUGUCACGCCAGUGGCAUUGCCGAGUAGCUAAGUGCGGAAGAGAUAACCGCUGAAAGCAUCUAAGCGGGAAACUCGUCUCAAGAUGAGUCUUGCCGGGGCCUUGAGCCCCCUGAAGAGUCGUCCUAGACCAGGACGUUGAUAGGCUGGGUGUGGAAGCGCAGUAAUGCGUUAAGCUAACCAGUACUAAUUGCUCGUGCGGCUUGACCCU
rnacentral:rRNA from 1 species